CCUACGGGAGGCAGCAGUGGGGAAUUUUGGACAAUGGGCGAAAGCCUGAUCCAGCAAUGCCGCGUGAGUGAAGAAGGCCUUCGGGUUGUAAAGCUCUUUUGUCAGGGAAGAAACGGUGAGAGCUAAUAUCUCUUGCUAAUGACGGUACCUGAAGAAUAAGCACCGGCUAACUACGUGCCAGCAGCCGCGGUAAUACGUAGGGUGCAAGCGUUAAUCGGAAUUACUGGGCGUAAAGCGUGCGCAGGCGGUUUUGUAAGUCUGAUGUGAAAUCCCCGGGCUCAACCUGGGAAUUGCAUUGGAGACUGCAAGGCUAGAAUCUGGCAGAGGGGGGUAGAAUUCCACGUGUAGCAGUGAAAUGCGUAGAUAUGUGGAGGAACACCGAUGGCGAAGGCAGCCCCCUGGGUCAAGAUUGACGCUCAUGCACGAAAGCGUGGGGAGCAAACAGGAUUAGAUACCCUGGUAGUCCACGCCCUAAACGAUGUCUACUAGUUGUCGGGUCUUAAUUGACUUGGUAACGCGAGCUACGCGUGAGUAGACCGCCGUCGGGAGGUACGGUCGCGAGAGUUAAACGUACAAGUAGAGUUAGAGGACGUGAGACGNGCGACGGACGACGACGAGGGAGGAGG
rnacentral:rRNA from 1 species